GUAGGUGGCAAGCGUUGUCCGGAAUUAUUGGGCGUAAAGCGCGCGCAGGCGGUUCUUUAAGUCUGAUGUGAAAGCCCACGGCUCAACCGUGGAGGGUCAUUGGAAACUGGAGAACUUGAGUACAGAAGAGGAAAGCGGAAUUCCACGUGUAGCGGUGAAAUGCGUAGAGAUGUGGAGGAACACCAGUGGCGAAGGCGGCUUUCUGGUCUGUAACUGACGCUGAGGCGCGAAACGCGUGGGGAGCAAACAGGAUUAGAUACCCUGGUAGUCCACGCCGUAAACGAUGAGUGCUAAGUGUUAGGGGGGUUUUCCGCCCCCCUUAGUGCUGCAGCUAACGCAUUAAGCACUCCCGCCUGGGAGUACGGCCGCAAGGCUG
rnacentral:rRNA from 1 species